rnacentral:tRNA from 1 species
GGUUAUGGCUCAGUGGCAGAGUGCUUGCUUUAUACAUGUGAGGCACUGGGUUCGAACCUCAGCACCA